rnacentral:rRNA from 1 species
ACUCGCGCACUCACGAUACCGUGAUUGCUCCCCGCAGUAGAGGCCCUAAAAUAUUUUAAAAAGCUGCUCAAAAGAAGGGGAGGCAAGUCGUAGCAUGGUAA